rnacentral:lncRNA from 1 species
GUAGGUUCAGCUCCAGAGGGCCCGAAUCAGCUGAGCGCCACCCUCCACCAUCCCAGUCCGCGGCCGGGGGGCCGAGGGGGGCGCUCUCUUUCUCCUGCCGAUGCCGUGCCUUUCCGUCCUUCUCCUCUUCGGCUCGGCGGUCGUUGGCGGCGGCGCGUUUAUUUUCAUUCAUUCAUUUGCCUGGCUCCUUUCACUCGGCCCGUCGUGCCCGAACCGAACCCAAUUCCGAGUCCAACUGGGCCGCGCGCACGCCGCACCGUCGGUUCAUUAGUCCGAAAUCAGUGGUUCGCCCUUCGCCGUGGGAAUAUGUGCCCGUCCGCGUCCGAGCUCCGACCGCCACCGCCGACCGAGAUCCACUCAUCGCUCCUCCCAGCGCCUCCUGACACCCCCUCAACCGAGCCCUCUCAACCCCAACGGAGCCCACCCUCUCCCUCUUAUCCAAUUAUCAAGUCGAUAAGCUCAACUUAAACAUCGUUCGCUGGUGAUUCACUUCGGUAAGUGUUCCAAAAUUCAAAACCUUUCAACCGCAGUACCAUUAUCACCAGAUCGAAUCGUGGCUCUGAUCACGACCUCGCCUUAUUAAGUGCAUAAUCGUACUUUUUGCUUGACUAAGUUGAAUAAGCUCAAUUUGAAAAUUGUUCGUAAGUGGCCCGCUUUGGUGCGUGUUACAAAUUUCGGAUCCGAGGAAAGGAGGUUACAGCCGACUCGGUGUGCGGUGCCUUAAAGAGAGAUUCUCUCGCCACGUCUCGCGUCAAAGACUGUUCUUACCGACUGCUGAGCUUUCAUUCUGAUUCGGCUCUGAUCCUCCUCGUUUCAAUAAAUUUGUGAUAGUGUGUCUGGGCCUCUGUAUAGCGUGCUACCUUUGCACACAGAGCCAACGAUCUCCUUUUGAGUCAGUGAUCGAAGGGGCAGCUGACUUGAAUCAAUCGGUGGUGGACGGCGGUUGGUCGAUUGGGACGGCCCAAGAUGCCCGAUGGUUGUCCGCUGACGAGCGACAUCAACAACAACAACCGGAGUGGAAGCGGCCACGGCAACUGCAGCCGCUGCGCCAGCAACGCUUGCGGCAACACCAAGUGCAACAGCGGGGCCUGCUAUGGCCAAACGCCCGGCGCCGCCCAUCAAAACGGCGGCGGCUCAGCUUACGCGGGUGCCGCCUCGCAGGGAGGGGGCGUGGGGGGUCGCAACAACGCAUGCGGCGGUGCCGGGUCCGGUAUGGGAUCUUCGGGCAAGAGAGUCCAGGUCACGGCGAAAAUCCUCUUCGGCUCUGUCUCGGCGAUAUCCAACAUGAAGCAUUCGGAGAAGCUCCACAGAAAGAGGUCCCAGUAA